GACGAACGCUGGCGGCGUGCUUAACACAUGCAAGUCGAGCGGUAAGGCCCUUUCGGGGGUACACGAGCGGCGAACGGGUGAGUAACACGUGGGUGACCUGCCCUCAGCUCUGGGAUAAGCCUGGGAAACCGGGUCUAAUACUGGAUAUGACUCCAUGACGCAUGUUGUGGGGUGGAAAGCCUUGUGCGGCUGAGGAUGGGCCCGCGGCCUAUCAGCUUGUUGGUGGGGUGANGGCCUACCAAGGCGACGACGGGUAGCCGGCCUGAGAGGGCGACCGGCCACACUGGGACUGAGACACGGCCCAGACUCCUACGGGAGGCAGCAGUGGGGAAUCUUGCGCAAUGGGCGAAAGCCUGACGCAGCGACGCGCGUGAGGGAUGACGGCCUCGGUGUAAC
rnacentral:rRNA from 1 species